rnacentral:rRNA from 1 species
CCUACGGGAGGCAGCAGUAGGGAAUAUUGCUCAAUGGGGGAAACCCUGAAGCAGCAACGCCGCGUGGAGGAUGAAGGUUCUCGGAUUGUAAACUCCUUUUGUUAGAGAAGAUAAUGACGGUAUCUAACGAAUAAGCACCGGCUAACUCCGUGCCAGCAGCCGCGGUAAUACGGAGGGUGCAAGCGUUACUCGGGAUCACUGGGCGUAAAGAGCGCGUAGGCGGGAUAGCAAGUCAGAUGUGAAAUCCUAUGGCUUAACCCUAGAACUGCAUUUGAAACUGUUGUUCUAGAGUAGGAGAGAGGUAGGUGGAAUUCUUGGUGUAGGGGUAAAAUGCGUAGAGAUCAAGAAGAAUACUCAUUGCGAAGGCGGCCUGCUAGAACAUAACUGACGCUGAUGCGCGAAAGCGUGGGGAGCGAACAGGAGUAGAUACCCGAGUAGUC